rnacentral:rRNA from 1 species
AGAUGGCGACCGGCGCACGGGUGAGUAACACGUAUCCAACCUGCCGAUAACUCGGGGAUAGCCUUUCGAAAGGAAGAUUAAUACCCGAUGGCAUAAUAGAACCGCAUGGUUUGAUUAUUAAAGAAUUUCGGUUAUCGAUGGGGAUGCGUUCCAUUAGGCAGUUGGUGGGGUAACGGCCCACCAAACCUUCGAUGGAUAGGGGUUCUGAGAGGAAGGUCCCCCACAUUGGAACUGAGACACGGUCCAA